rnacentral:rRNA from 1 species
GACGAACGCUGGCGGCGUGCCUAAUACAUGCAAGUAGAACGCUGACGGAGGAGCUUGCUUCUCUGGAUGAGUUGCGAACGGGUGAGUAACGCGUAGGUAACCUGCCUUGUAGCGGGGGAUAACUAUUGGAAACGAUAGCUAAUACCGCAUAAUAGUAGAUCUUGCAUGACAUUUGCUUAAAAUUUGCACUUGCCUCACUACCAUAUGCACCUGCGUUGUAUUAGCUAUUUGGUGAGGUAACGGCUCACCAAGGCGAAGAUACAUAGCCGAGCUGAGAGGGUGAUCGGCCACCACGGGAAUGGGACACGGCCCAGAAUCCUAAGGGAGGCAGCAGUAGGGAAUCUUCGGCAAUGGAGGGAAGGCUGACCGAGCAACGACGGGGGAGGGAAGGAGGUUUUCGGAUCGUAAAGGUCUGUUGGAAGAGAAGAAAGAGUGUGAGAGUGGAAAGUUCACGCUGUGACGGUAUCUUACCAGAAAGGGACGGCUAACUACGUG